rnacentral:rRNA from 1 species
CUUAGCCAGCGACUCUAAAGAAAUCAGCUAUAGUCGCCCCUUCGGGGGCUGGCGACGUUAUCAAUCUGUGUCUGGAAGUACCCCCUACCAAGGGAGUACCACCAGCAGCUCGUUGCAUUCGAGUUCACAGGUCAAACGAUAGCGGCCACUUCGGUGGUUGAGAUAUGAUCGGCCUCCAGCUGUCACUUAGCUGGGGAGAUUUGCGGAACCUGCGGAAGGAUCAUUAAUGAGUUCGGGGGCCUAGCCCCCAGCGGCGAGUGUCGUGGCGUCCCCCGGGACUCCUCGGCGGUCGUCGUGUUUCUCAACCCCAUGUUUACCAUACCUUUGUUGCUUUGGCGGGCCUUGAGUAGGCUAUACGGCUCAUGUCGGCCCUAAGCUUUAUUGCUUGGGGGCGGCUCGCGCCCGCCAGAGGUUUAACCAAAUCCUAUUUAUAAGUGAUGUCUGAGUAAUUAUUAAAUAAUCAAAACUUUCAACAACGGAUCUCUUGGUUCUGGCAUCGAUGAAGAACGCAGCGAAAUGCGAUAAGUAAUGUGAAUUGCAGAAUUCAGUGAAUCAUCGAAUCUUUGAACGCACAUUGCGCCCCUUGGUAUUCCGGGGGGCAUGCCUGUUCGAGCGUCAUUACACCCCUCAAGCGUAGCUUGGUAUUGGACAUCCGCGGGCCCUUUUACAAGGGCUUGCGGGUCCGAAAAACAGUGGCGGUCCCCGAGGAUUUCGCGCGUAGUAAAUAUUAUCCCGCGUUGGAAAGAAUCGGUGGGCUUGCCAAAACCCCCCAUAAUCUCCAUGAUUGACCUCGGAUCAGGUAGGGAUACCCGCUGAACUUAAGCAUAUCAAUAAAGCGGAGGA